GAAUGUGGAGCCGUAGCGAAAGCGAGUCUGAAUAGGGCGUUGAGUAUUUGGUCGUAGACCCGAAACCAGGUGAUCUACCCUUGGUCAGGUUGAAGUUCAGGUAACACUGAAUGGAGGACCGAACCGACUUACGUUGAAAAGUGAGCGGAUGAACUGAGGGUAGCGGAGAAAUUCCAAUCGAACUUGGAGAUAGCUGGUUCUCUCCGAAAUAGCUUUAGGGCUAGCCUCAAGUGAUGAUUAUUGGAGGUAGAGCACUGUUUGGACGAGGGGCCCCUCUCGGGUUACCGAAUUCAGACAAACUCCGAAUGCCAAUCAAUUUAACUUGGGAGUCAGAACAUGGGUGAUAAGGUCCGUGUUCGAAAGGGAAACAGCCCAGACCACCAGCUAAGGUCCCAAAAUAUAUGUUAAGUGGAAAAGGAUGUGGCGUUGCCCAGACAACUAGGAUGUUGGCUUAGAAGCAGCCAUCAUUUAAAGAGUGCGUAAUAGCUCACUAGUCGAGUGACACUGCGCCGAAAAUGUACCGGGGCUAAACAUAUUACCGAAGCUGUGGAUUGUCCUUCGGACAAUGGUAGGAGAGCGUUCUAAGGGCGUUGAAGCAUGAUCGCAAGGACAUGUGGAGCGCUUAGAAGUGAGAAUGCCGGUGUGAGUAGCGAAAGACGGGUGAGAAUCCCGUCCACCGAUUGACUAAGGUUUCCAGAGGAAGGCUCGUCCGCUCUGGGUUAGUCGGGUCCUAAGCUGAGGCCGACAGGCGUAGGCGAUGGAUAACAGGUUGAUAUUCCUGUACCACCUAGUAUCGUUUUAAUCGAUGGGGGGACGCAGUAGGAUAGGCGAAGCGUGCUGUUGGAGUGCACGUCCAAGCAGUAAGGCUGAGUGUUAGGCAAAUCCGGCACUCGUUAGGCUGAGCUGUGAUGGGGAGAGGAAAUUGUUUCCUCGAGUCGUUGAUUUCACACUGCCGAGAAAAGCCUCUAGAUAGAUAACAGGUGCCCGUACCGCAAACCGACACAGGUAGUCAAGAUGAGAAUUCUAAGGUGAGCGAGCGAACUCUCGUUAAGGAACUCGGCAAAAUGACCCCGUAACUUCGGGAGAAGGGGUGCUCUUUAGGGUUCACGCCCAGAAGAGCCGCAGUGAAUAGGCCCAAGCGACUGUUUAUCAAAAACACAGGUCUCUGCUAAACCGUAAGGUGAUGUAUAGGGGCUGACGCCUGCCCGGUGCUGGAAGGUUAAGAGGAGUGGUUAGCUUCUGCGAAGCCACGAAUCGAAGCCCCAGUAAACGGCGGCCGUAACUAUAACGGUCCUAAGGUAGCGAAAUUCCUUGUCGGGUAAGUUCCGACCCGCACGAAAGGCGUAACGAUUUGGGCACUGUCUCAACGAGAGACUCGGUGAAAUCAUAGUACCUGUGAAGAUGCAGGUUACCCGCGACAGGACGGAAAGACCCCGUGGAGCUUUACUGUAGCCUGAUAUUGAAAUUCGGCACAGCUUGUACAGGAUAGGUAGGAGCCAUUGAAACGUGAGCGCUAGCUUACGUGGAGGCGUUGGUGGGAUACUACCCUAGCUGUGUUGGCUUUCUAACCCGCACCACUUAUCGUGGUGGGAGACAGUGUCAGGCGGGCAGUUUGACUGGGGCGGUCGCCUCCUAAAAGGUAACGGAGGCGCUCAAAGGUUCCCUCAGAAUGGUUGGAAAUCAUUCACAGAGUGUAAAGGCAUAAGGGAGCUUGACUGCGAGACCUACAAGUCGAGCAGGGUCGAAAGACGGACUUAGUGAUCCGGUGGUUCCGCAUGGAAGGGCCAUCGCUCAACGGAUAAAAGCUACCCCGGGGAUAACAGGCUUAUCUCCCCCAAGAGUUCACAUCGACGGGGAGGUUUGGCACCUCGAUGUCGGCUCAUCGCAUCCUGGGGCUGUAGUCGGUCCCAAGGGUUGGGCUGUUCGCCCAUUAAAGCGGUACGCGAGCUGGGUUCAGAACGUCGUGAGACAGUUCGGUCCCUAUCCGUCGUGGGCGUAGGAAAUUUGAGAGGAGCUGUCCUUAGUACGAGAGGACCGGGAUGGACAUACCUCUGGUGUACCAGUUGUCGUGCCAACGGCAUAGCUGGGUAGCUAUGUAUGGACGGGAUAAGUGCUGAAAGCAUCUAAGCAUGAAGCCCCCCUCAAGAUGAGAUUUCCCAACUUCGGUUAUAAGAUCCCUCGAAGAUGACGAGGUUAAUAGGUUCGAGGUGGAAGCGUGGUGACACGUGGAGCUGACGAAUACUAAUCGAUCGAAGACUUAAUCAA
rnacentral:rRNA from 1 species